UACCGAGGUCUCAAGCGUUGUUCGGAUUCAUUGGGCGUAAAGGGCUCGUAGGCGGCGUGGUAAGUCGGGUGUGAAAUCUUGGAGCUUAACUCCGAAACUGCAUUCGAUACUGCCGUGCUUGAGGACUGGAGAGGAGACUGGAAUUUACGGUGUAGCGGUGAAAUGCGUAGAUAUCGUAAGGAAGACCAGUGGCGAAGGCGGGUCUCUGGACAGUUCCUGACGCUGAGGCACGAAGGCCAGGGGAGCAAACGGG
rnacentral:rRNA from 1 species